AAAGUGUUCCAAAUCAGCCACCAUACAUUAUAAGCUAUAUCAUUCUCGUAAAUGAAAUACAUGGAAAAAUAAAUAAAAUAAUGAUUAUUAAUAAAUUAAAAAACAUAAAAAAAUAAAUAAAUUAAAAAGUAAAACAAAAAUAGAAUAAUUUAAUUCAAAGGCCUAAUAAAAGUUUCACCCGUUGUGGGAUUUGAGCUUACGACCUUCCGCAUGCGAAACAAGGACCUUAACCACUUCUCUAACAACCCAUAUAUUAUCUUUCAAAUGUUUUUCCUGUUGGUGCAUUUUCGUAUAUGGCUUUAUCCUGCCACCCCUGUGUACUUAUAAAUUAAGAUUUCCCAUUCUCGAUCAUAUUUGAAUCGAUACCGUUAUGCCGGAUUCCGAUGAUUGCCGAUAAAAGGUCAUUGAAAAUUCAAAUGUCUCGGGCCAAUAUUGCCCAACAAUAUUUCAAUAAUGAAAAGGUCAGAGUUGAGAAGCACGGCGGAAUAUGCCGAAUUUUCCCGCUUCACAGAUUACAGACCACGUGAUCAUUUGAGCUAACAGGUCAUUUUUGGUGGGAAACUCGCGCCGAGAAGACGUUCUUUGUGAAUAAGUAAGUGUGAUGAUAUUUUACAACUUUUGUAUUUGAUCGUUUAUAUUGUUCUUGAUGUAUGCUAUUUUUUAUGUACUCGCGCUUUAUAAAAUAUCUUUAAAUAUGUAUGUUAUCCCUGUAGUUAGUUAUGAGUUGAGUUGAAGUUAUUGUUGAUGGUUCUUAUAAAAUGUGAUUUGGCCAGACUACGUGAUGCGCCCGCGGUUUUGUUGAUAUACUCGCGAUUUAUAAAAUAUCUUUAUGUAAAUUAUCCCUGUACCCCCUAUAGUAAGUAAUGUGUAGAGUUGAAGUUAUUGUUGAUGGUUGUUGUAAUAAAAUGUGAUUUGGCCAGACUACGUGAUGCGCCCGCGGUUUUGUUGAUAUACUCGCGAUUUAUAAAAUAUCUUUAUGUAAGUUAUCCCUGUACCCCCUAUAGUAAGUAAUGUGUAGAGUUGAAGUUAUUGUUGAUGGUUGUUGUAAUAAAAUGUGAUUUGGCCAGACUACGUGAUGCGCCCGCGGUUUUGUUGAUAUACUCGCGAUUUAUAAAAUAUCUUUAUGUAAGUUAUCCCUGUACCCCCUAUAGUAAGUAAUGUGUAGAGUUGAAGUUAUUGUUGAUGGUUGUUGUAAUAAAAUGUGAUUUGGCCAGACUACGUGAUGCGCCCGCGGUUUUGUUGAUAUACUCGCGAUUUAUAAAAAAAUCUUUAUGUAAUUAUCCCUGUACCCCCUGUAGUAAGUGAUGUGUUGAGUUGAAGUUAUUGUUGAUGGUUGUUGUUAUAAAAUGUGAUUUGGCCAGACUACGUGAUGCGCCCGCGGUUUUGUUGAUAUACUCGCGAUUUAUAAAAAAAAAUAUUUAUGUAAGUUAUCCCUGUACCCCCUGUAGUAAGUGAUGUGUUGAGUUGAAGUUAUUGUUGAUGGUUGUUGUUAUAAAAUGUGAUUUGGCCAGACUACGUGAUGCGCCCGCGGUUUUGUUGAUAUACUCGCGAUUUAUAAAAAAAAUCUUUAUGUAAGUUAUCCCUGUACCCCCUGUAGUUGGUUAUGUGUUGAGUUGAAGUUAUUGUUGAUGGUUGUUGUUAUAAAUUGUGAUUUGGCCAGACUACGUGAUGCGCCCGCGGUUUUGUUGAUAUACUCGCGAUUUAUAAAAAAUCUUUAUGUAAGUUAUCCCUGUACCCCCUGUAGUAAGUGAUAUGUUGAGUUGAAGUUAUUGUUGAUGGUUGUUGUUAUAAAAUGUGAUUUGGCCAGACUACGUGAUGCGCCCGCGGUUUUGUUGAUAUACUCGCGAUUUAUAAAAAAAAAUCUUUAUGUAAGUUAUCCUUGUACCCCCUGCAGUUAGUUAUGUGUUGAGUUGAAGUUAUUGUUGAUGGUUGUUGUUAUAAAAUGUGAUUUGGUCAGACUACGUGAUGCGCCCGCGGUUUUGUUGAUAUACUCGCGAUUUAUAAAAAAAAUCUUUAUGUAAGUUAUCCCUGUACCCCCUGUAGUUGGUUAUGUGUUGAGUUGAAGUUAUUGUUGAUGGUGGUUGUUAUAAAAUGUGAUUCUGGCCAGACUACGUGAUGUGCCCGCGGUUUUUUAUAUACUCGUGAUUUAUAAGAAAUCUUUAUGUAUGUUAUCCCUGUAGUUAGUAAUGUGUAGAGUUGAAGUUAUUGUUGAUGGUUGUUGUUAUAAAAUGUGAUUCUGGCCAGGCUACGUGAUGCGCCCGCGUUUGUUAUUUUAUAUACUCACGAUUUAUAAAAAAUCUUUAUGUAUGUUAUCCCUUUAGUUAGAAAUGUGUUGAGUAGAAGUUCUUGUUAUAAAAUGUGAAUCUGGCCAGGCUACGUGAUGCGCCCGCGUUUUUUUUUAUAUACUCGCGAUUUAUAAAAAAAUCUUUAUGUACGUUAUCCCUGUACCCCCUGUAGUUAGUAAUGGGUUGAGUAAAAGUUAUUGUUGAUGGUUGUUGUUAUAAAAUGUGAUUCUGGCCAGGCUACGUGAUGCGCCCGCGGUUUUUUGAUAUACUCAUACUCGAGUAUUGUAUUUGAUAUGUAUUUGUAUCUUUUUCACCAAUAAAAUAAUCAUAUGUUUUUUUUAUUUUUGUUUUAUUCUUCCUAUUUCCUUUAGACCUCUUCCUUCAUGUUUAACCUACUCUUUUUAUGCUAUGACUUGUGUAUUUAGAAUUUGUGUACUAUGAUUAUGUUUGAUAUGUUUAAUAAUGUAAAUAAUAAUUUAGAUUUUGAAAUGCCUGUAUUUGUUUGCUCUUAUACCUAUAUUUUUGUUUUACAGAUCUACUUGCCAUGUUCUUUAACUGUUUUUUCCCCUAUUCUAAUGUUUUGUGUUUUUUUUGUGUUUUUGGAAACCCCCUGGAAAGAAGAUGUUGGUGUUCUAGUUCUACAUUGUGGCGGAGACGUGAUGAUGUGGAUAGCUGCAUGUGUAUUAUUGGUUGGAAACUGGCAUGAUGGAGCAAUUAGACCAUGGAGGAGUGAUGAAGCGGAAGUGGAUAAGACUAUCAGUUCUUCGAGAGUCCCAGUGCCUAUAUACUCGCAAGAAGGAUAUGGUAUGGAAUAGCUUAGUACAUCUAUGUGCUGGCAGAUUUGUACAACAAUAAGUUGUUCCAGUGUGAAGAAAGAUGCGUGUCAUAAGACCAUGGAGGAGUCAUGAAGCUGAAGUGGAUAAGACUAUCAGUUCUUCGAGAGUCCCAGUGCCUAUAUACUCGCAAGAAGGAUAUGGUAUGUAAUAGCUUAGUACAUCUAUGUGCUGGCAGAUUUGUACAACAAUAAGUUGUUCCAGUGUGAAGAAAGAUGCGUGUCAUAAGACCAUGGAGGAGUGAUGAAGCGGAAGUGGAUAAGACUAUCAGUUCUUCGAGAGUCCCAGUGCCUAUAUACUCGCAAGAAGGAUAUGGUAUGGAAUAGCUUAGUACAUUUAUGUGCUGGCAGAUUUGUACAACAAUAAGUUGUUCCAGUGUGAAGAAAGAUGCGUGUCAUAAGAAAAUGGAUUGUUGUGUAACAGUGGUGAAGUGUUUGUUGAUCGAGACUAUCAAUUCUUCGAGAGUCCCAGUGCAUAAAUACUCACGAGAAGGAUAUGGUAUGGAAUAGCUUGGUACAUUUCCGUGCUGGUAUAUUUGUACAUUUGGAAGUUGCUUCAGUGUGGAGAGAGAUGGACACGGUCAGUAUGCAAUUUGAUAGGAAUGAUCUAUUUUACCUAGUCUAUAACUAGAUAGACUAGAAUAUCUG